GACGAACGCUGGCGGCGUGCCUAAUACAUGCAAGUAGAACGCUGAAGUAGGAGCUUGCUUCUCUGGAUGAGUUGCGAACGGGUGAGUAACGCGUAGGUAACCUGCCUGGUAGCGGGGGAUAACUAUUGGAAACGAUAGCUAAUACCGCAUAAGAGUAGAUGUUGCAUGACAUUUGCUUAAAAGAUGCAAUUGCAUCACUACCAGAUGGACCUGCGUUGUAUUAGCUAGUUGGUGGGGUAACGGCUCACCAAGGCGACGAUACAUAGCCGACCUGAGAGGGUGAUCGGCCACACUGGGACUGAGACACGGCCCAGACUCCUACGGGAGGCAGCAGUAGGGAAUCUUCGGCAAUGGACGGAAGGCUGACCGAGCAACGCCGCGUGAGUGAAGAAGGUUUUCGGAUCGUAAAGCUCUGUUGUAAGAGAAGAACGAGUGUGAGAGUGGAAAGUUCACACUGUGACGGUAUCUUACCAGAAAGGGACGGCUAACUACGUG
rnacentral:rRNA from 1 species